UACGAAGGGGGCUAGCGUUGUUCGGAAUGACUGGGCGUAAAGGGCGCGUAGGCGGCGAUGUAAGUCAGGCGUGAAAGCCCCGGGCUCAACCUGGGAACGGCGCUUGAUACUGCGUUGCUUGAGGACGGGAGAGGAUGGUGGAAUUCCCAGUGUAGAGGUGAAAUUCGUAGAUAUUGGGAAGAACACCGGUGGCGAAGGCGGCCAUCUGGACCGUUUCUGACGCUGAGGAGCGAAAGCGUGGGGAGCGAACAGG
rnacentral:rRNA from 1 species